rnacentral:Y_RNA from 1 species
GGCUGGUCUGAAGGUAAUGAAGGAGGAAACUGAAUAGUUUUAUGUAUGUAUGUUAAUGUAUCAUACUGUAAUGUAACUGUCAUCUCGAUAACUGUUCACAGUCAGUUCUAGAUCGAACUCCUUGUGCUACUCUUUCCCCUAUUCUCACUACUACACUUGACUAGUCUUGA